rnacentral:rRNA from 1 species
CAGACCUCUGAUCAGGAAA